rnacentral:misc_RNA from 1 species
UCCGCCUUAUCGACGGCGGUCUCCCUAGAGUGCCCAACAUGAUUUGCUGGCAACUAGGGACAAGGGUUGCGCUCGUUGCGGGACUUAACCCAACAUCUCACGACACGAGCUGACGACAGCCAUGCAGCACCUGUGCACCGACCCCGAAGGGAGGGUGUGUUUCCACACCUGUCCGGUGCAUGUCAAACCUGGGUAAGGUUCUUCGCGUUGCAUCGAAUUAAUCCACAUGCUCCGCCGCUUGUGCGGGCCCCCGUCAAUUUCUUUGAGUUUUAGCCUUGCGGCCGUACUCCCCAGGCGGGGUACUUACUGCGUUAGCGACGGCACCGGGAGGGUCGCUCCCCCCGACGCCUAGUGCCCAUCGUUUACGGCGUGGACUAC